AUUGAACGCUGGCGGCAUGCCUUACACAUGCAAGUCGAACGGUAACAGAUCUUCGGAUGCUGACGAGUGGCGAACGGGUGAGUAAUACAUCGGAACGUGCCCGAUCGUGGGGGAUAACGAAGCGAAAGCUUUGCUAAUACCGCAUACGAUCUACGGAUGAAAGCAGGGGACCGCAAGGCCUUGCGCGAACGGAGCGGCCGAUGGCAGAUUAGGUAGUUGGUGGGAUAAAAGCUUACCAAGCCGACGAUCUGUAGCUGGUCUGAGAGGACGACCAGCCACACUGGGACUGAGAAACGGCCCAGACUCCUACGGGAGGCAGCAGUGGGGAAUUUUGGACAAUGGGCGAAAGCCUGAUCCAGCCAUGCCGCGUGCAGGAUGAAGGCCUUCGGGUUGUAAACUGCUUUUGUACGGAACGGAAAGACUCUGGUUAAUACCUGGGGUCCAUGACGGUACCGUAAGAAUAAGCACCGGCUAACUACGUGCCAGCCGCCGCCGUAA
rnacentral:rRNA from 1 species